rnacentral:rRNA from 1 species
UACGUAGGGUGCAAGCGUUGUCCGGAAUUAUUGGGCGUAAAGAGCUCGUAGGCGGUCUGUCGCGUCGGCUGUGAAAUCCCGGAGCUCAACUCCGGGCCUGCAGUCGAUACGGGCAGACUGGAGUUCGGCAGGGGAGACUGGAAUUCCUGGUGUAGCGGUGAAAUGCGCAGAUAUCAGGAGGAACACCGGUGGCGAAGGCGGGUCUCUGGGCAGUAACUGACGCUGGAGGAGCGAAAGCGUGGGGAGCGAACAGGA